CACUGUUGUUUUUUAUUGGUCGUCGUGAAAAAAAACAUAAGGGGUAACACAGUCGAUAUUUAUCAGUUAAAACAUAGGGGGUAACACUGUCGUUUUUAUCAAAUGAAACAUGAGGGGUGACACUGUCGUUUUUUUAUUGGUCGUCAUGAAAAAAACAUAAGGGGUAACAAUGUUGUUUUUUAUUGGUCGUCAUGAAAAAAACAUAAGGGGGGUAACACUGUUAUUUUUUAUUGGUCGUCAUGAAAAAAAACAUAAGGGGUAACACUGUUGUUUUUUAUUGGUCGUCAUGGAUAAAAA
ensembl:lncRNA